CAGCCGCCGCGGGAAUACGUAGGUGGCAAGCGUUGUCCGGAAUUAUUGGGCGUAAAGGGCUCGCAGGCGGUCUCUUAAGUCUGAUGUGAAAGCCCCGGCUCAACCGGGGAGGGUCAUUGGAAACUGGGAAACUUGAGUGCAGAAGAGGAGAGUGGAAUUCCACGUGUAGCGGUGAAAUGCGUAGAGAUGUGGAGGAACACCAGUGGCGAAGGCGACUCUCUGGUCUGUAACUGACGCUGAGGAGCGAAAGCGUGGGGAGCGAACAGGAUUAGAUACCCCAGUAGUCCCUGUCUCUUAUACC
rnacentral:rRNA from 1 species